UAAGUAAACAUUAACAAAAAUUAAACGUGUCAUGAUUAAAGAUAUAUUGUAACACAUAAGAAAUGAGCAGGACAGAGUUUGACCUUAAGACAGAGGUUUUCAAUUUGGCAUAAUGACCAGGAAGCUUGUUAAGUUCAAAAAUGCCAACAUCAGCCUAUAAAAGGUUACUCUACAAGCUAUUUCAGGGAUCACAAGAACCCAUUUUAUUAGAUGAUAAGGAAGGAAAACAUUCCAGGAUUAAGAGAAAUGGAAGCAAUGUUAUCCAAAAGGUGAGGGUUCUAGACUGUUACUCAUCAUUUCGUGUAGCUCACUGAUCCUGGAAGGCAGGAAUAGACUCUUUUAAUUUGUCUGGAACUGAUGGCACCAGGAACAUGUUGAACAUAUAAUGAGUAUACUACUUUGCAAUGAGAAAACCAUAGGUUUCUGUCCCUACAUGGCUUGUGAGGGAGAUCCAGAAAGGCAAGACAUUCAUCUGUGUGGAACAUUCAUAUGAGAGAAAAACUACCUUACCUUCAUGAUUAAUAAGGAAAAGAGUUUCAAAACACUGCUUUUUUAAAGUGACACAACAGAGAAAGAAAUAACAGAGGAAGAAAAACAAGGGAAAAGAGACAAGUGAAGCUACUUCCAAGAAAUCAAAGUUUAUGGGACUAGAAAUCAGAAAUGAUGCUAAAUUAAAAAUCUGAGUCCACAUCAAUCAGAAAGAAAACAUCUCGGUGCAUAGAGAGAAGCACACAGACAGAAACCUGCAGUGCACAAAGCAAUGACUCCCUCGUUAUCCCAUAUUUCAAGCACGCAAGAGAGUGAGGGGCAGAACAUGACAGGAACAUUUGCAGCUGAAAUCACUCCUGAAAAGAUCUGUUUUGCUCUUUCUCCAUGUUAUGUUUUCUCAGGAUAUUCCUCUUGGAAUUCAGUGGCUCUUUUAAAAGAAGAUACUUGCAAACACUGGCCUGACCUUUUGCUGAGUUUCUUUGGUCUCUCUCCACAGCUCUGCUGGGGUAUCAUGGAACGUUGCACAGAUGUCCUCCUUUAUCUCCCCCCCCCAUCACUGGAGUACCCCCACCUCAGAGUUUCCGGAAACCCACACCUUACCUCCAUCAGCACAGAGCAGAGGAAUGACCCGUGGAAAUCUCACUGCCAUGGCGAGGCGCACCAUCCAGGGAAACAUUCCAAGCUGCUCCUGUCUGUCAAAUAAAGAUGACACAGGUUUACUGUCUGUGGACACCC